CAAGUCGAGCGGAACGAGUUAUCUGAACCUUCGGGGAACGAUAACGGCGUCGAGCGGCGGACGGGUGAGUAAUGCCUGGGAAAUUGCCCUGAUGUGGGGGAUAACCAUUGGAAACGAUGGCUAAUACCGCAUAAUAGCUUCGGCUCAAAGAGGGGGACCUUCGGGCCUCUCGCGUCAGGAUAUGCCCAGGUGGGAUUAGCUAGUUGGUGAGGUAAGGGCUCACCAAGGCGACGAUCCCUAGCUGGUCUGAGAGGAUGAUCAGCCACACUGGAACUGAGACACGGUCCAGACUCCUACGGGAGGCAGCAGUGGGGAAUAUUGCACAAUGGGCGCAAGCCUGAUGCAGCCAUGCCGCGUGUAUGAAGAAGGCCUUCGGGUUGUAAAGUACUUUCAGCAGUGAGGAAGGCGGGUACGUUAAUAGCGUGCUCGUUUGACGUUAGCUGCAGAAGAAGCACCGGCUAACUCCGUGCCAGCAGC
rnacentral:rRNA from 1 species